rnacentral:lncRNA from 1 species
AAAUACAUAAAAUAAAGGCAAAGUAAAAAGAAUUAAGAUAUGUGAUUACCUGUGCCAUGAUGAAUGCAAUCAUUAUGUACUGCAAAUAUGUACUAAGAAAAAAAUUUAUAAACAAAUAUAUGUUUAUUAUGAUUAGCUCCAAGAACGGAAAUAGUCAAAUGUCUAAGGGAUUUUUAACUUUAGUGUCAUCAUUCUAACCAUCAGUUCCCCCAAGAAUUUCCCUUUCAUAUUAUGGAAUGUAUUUUUGGCUCCCCAUUAAGUUCUUUGAAAGCCCCAAAGACCUGGUCUCUCUCCCCAGCAAUCCACUCUCCAGAGGCGUGGAAGAUUUGUUUUGCUGGAGGAUGAAUGGAGGAUCCUUAACAAACUUCUGGCCUGAUCCUGGUGAAAGCUGCAGGCAGAGGAUGUGGCAGCCUUUGCCCACAGGCUCCACCCUGGGAUUGUGUGUGUCACUGGGCUGCUCCCCCACCAGUGCAGCAGCAACUGCAAGGCAUGUGGAAGGCAUGGGGGUGAGAUGAGCCAGCAGUGGCUUCAAGGGGGAUGUGGUCAUUUGGGCACAGACUCCAGCCACUUUACCAUCCUGUAUUGCUGUCCUGGGCUGGAACCCAGGGUCUUGGCAAUGAGCUCCAUCCCCAGCCCCUUUUCCUUGCCGCUGUGAGGGCCAGGGCAAUGUCAAUGUGGUGGACUCACUGAUGGUCUACUUGGAAGGCCCAGCUGUACAGCGUCAGCGUGGUAUGGGUGUGGAAGGCCCACCUGAGGAUUGCUGCCAAUGGCAUAGAGAACUGGAGGGA